rnacentral:rRNA from 1 species
UACGUAGGGUGCGAGCGUUAAUCGGAAUUACUGGGCGUAAAGCGUGCGCGGGCGGUUUUGUAAGCCAGAUGUGAAAUCCCCGGGCUUAACCUGGGAAUGGCAUUUGGGACUGCAAGGCUGGAGUUUGGCAGAGGAGACUGGAAUUCCCGGUGUAGCAGUGAAAUGCGUAGAUAUCGGGAGGAAUACCGAUGGCGAAGGCGACUUCCUGGCCUGUUCUUGACGCUGAGGCGCGAAAGCUAGGGGAGCAAACGGG